rnacentral:rRNA from 1 species
GACGAACGCUGGCGGCGUGCUUAACACAUGCAAGUCGAACGGUAAGGCCCUUUCGGGGGUACACGAGUGGCGAACGGGUGAGUAACACGUGGGUGAUCUGCCCUGCACUUUGGGAUAAGCCUGGGAAACUGGGUCUAAUACCGGAUAGGACUACGCGAUGCAUGUCGUGUGGUGGAAAGCUUUUGCGGUGUGGGAUGGGCCCGCGGCCUAUCAGCUUGUUGGUGGGGUGAUGGCCUACCAAGGCGACGACGGGUAGCCGGCCUGAGAGGGUGUCCGGCCACACGGGGACUGAGAUACGGCCCAGAUCCCUAGGGGGGGCAACAGUGGGGAAUAUUGCACAAGGGGGGAAAGCCUGAUGCAGCGACGCCGCGGGGGGGAUGACGGCCUUGGGGUUGUAAACCCCUUUCAGCACAGACGAAGCGUAAGUGACGGUAUGGGCAGAAGAAGCACCGGCCAACUACGU